AGAGUUUGAUCCUGGCUCAGAUUGAACGCUGGCGGCAUGCUUUACACAUGCAAGUCGAACGGCAGCGCGGGGCAACCUGGCGGCGAGUGGCGAACGGGUGAGUAAUAUAUCGGAACGUACCCAAGAGUGGGGGAUAACGUAGCGAAAGUUACGCUAAUACCGCAUACGAUCUAAGGAUGAAAGCAGGGGAUCUUCGGACCUUGUGCUCCUGGAGCGGCCGAUAUCUGAUUAGCUAGUUGGUGAGGUAAAGGCUCACCAAGGCCACGAUCAGUAGCUGGUCUGAGAGGAUGACCAGCCACAUUGGGACUGAGACACGGCCCAAACUCCUACGGGAGGCAGCAGUGGGGAAUCUUGCGCAAUGGGCGAAAACCUGACGCAGCCAUGCCGCGUGAAUGAUGAAGGUCUUAGGAUUGUAAAAUUCUUUCACCGGGGACGAUAAUGACGGUACCCGGAGAAGAAGCCCCGGCUAACUUCGUGCCAGCAGCCGCGGUAAUACGAAGGGGGCUAGCGUUGCUCGGAAUUACUGGGCGUAAAGGGCGCGUAGGCGGACAUUUAAGUCAGGGGUGAAAUCCCAGAGCUCAACUCUGGAACUGCCUUUGAUACUGGGUGUCUUGAGUGUGAGAGAGGUAUGUGGAACUCCGAGUGUAGAGGUGAAAUUCGUAGAUAUUCGGAAGAACACCAGUGGCGAAGGCGACAUACUGGCUCAUUACUGACGCUGAGGCGCGAAAGCGUGGGGAGCAAACAGGAUUAGAUACCCUGGUAGUCC
rnacentral:rRNA from 1 species